rnacentral:rRNA from 1 species
AGAGUUUGAUCAUGGCUCAGGAUGAACGCUGGCGGCGUGCUUAAUACAUGCAAGUCGAGCGAGGACCAUUUGGUGGCAACACCGGGUGGCUCCUAGCGGCGAACGGGUGAGUAACACGUGGGCAACCUACCCCCGACUUUGGGAUAAGCCCGGGAAACUGGGUCUAAUACCGGAUACGAGCCUCCUCCGCAUGGUGGAGGUUGGAAAGGGUCUCCGGUCGGGGAUGGGCCCGCGGCCUAUCAGCUUGUUGGCGGGGUAACGGCCCACCAAGGCGACGACGGGUAGCCGGCCUGAGAGGGUGAACGGCCACACUGGGACUGAGACACGGCCCAGACUCCUACGGGAGGCAGCAGUAGGGAAUCUUGCGCAAUGGGCGAAAGCCUGACGCAGCGACGCCGCGUGCGGGACGAAGGCCUUCGGGUUGUAAACCGCUUUCAGCAGGGACGAAGCGAAAGUGACGGUACCUGCAGAAGAAGGUCCGGCCAACUACGUGCCAGCAGCCGCGGUA